rnacentral:rRNA from 1 species
AUGCAGUCUAUUGUUUUCCUACAAGGAUUUAGAAAAUGGAAGCGACUUAAUGAUCGAAACAAAUGUGCAUUCUUGACUCACAUGGGAAAGGAUAGUAAAUCUGCUCAUAGUUUUGCUGUCAAAUGUUAUGAUAAUUUGAAGAAUAAGCAAUGCCAUAUGGAACAAUUAGUGGUGAAGCAAACAGAAGAGGACAUCAAGAGGAAUAGGCUUCAUCUUAGAGUAACAAUCGAUGCACUACGGUGGUUAGCAUUCCAAGCUUGCCCCUUCCGUGGACAUGAUGAAAGUCUUGAUUCAAGGAACCAAGGUAAUUUCCUUGAAAUGGUCAAAUUGGUAGCUUUUGAUGAUGAGGAAAUUGGUGCGGUUGUAUUGGGUAAUGCGCCAGGGAAUGCUAAGUAUACCUCACCUACAAUUCAAAAAGAACUUCUGCAUAUGAUUGCUUUUAAUGUGCAAAAAGAAAUUCGUAAAGAAAUUGGGGAUGCUAAGUUCUGCUUGCUUGUAGAUGAGUCAAGAGAUGAAUCCAAAAGAGAGCAAAUGGCAGUGGUUAUUCGUUUUGUGGACAAACCUGUUUCACUCAUGAACGUUUUCUUGAUAUUGUUCAUGUCAUUGAGACAUCUUCAACUACUCUAA